GAUGAACGCUAGCGGCAGGCCUAACACAUGCAAGUCGAGGGGUAGAGGAAGCUUGCUUCCUUGAGACCGGCGCACGGGUGCGUAACGCGUAUGCAAUCUACCUUUUACAGAGGGAUAGCCUAGAGAAAUUUGGAUUAAUACCUCAUAGUAUAUAUCAUUCGCCUGUUUGAUAUAUUAAAGUUCCAACGGUAAAAGAUGAGCAUGCGUCCCAUUAGUUAGUUGGUAAGGUAACGGCUUACCAAGACGAUGAUGGGUAGGGGUCCUGAGAGGGAGAUCCCCCACACUGGAACUGGGACAAGGACCAGACUCCUACGGGAGGCAGCAGUGAGGAAUAUUGGUCAAUGGACGCAAGUCUGAACCAGCCAUGCCGCGUGCAGGAAGACGGUCCUAUGGAUUGUAAACUGCUUUUGUACGGGAAGAAACACUCCUACGUGUAGGAGCCUGACGGUACCGUAAGAAUAAGGAUCGGCUAACUCCGUGCCAGCCGCCGCAGUAAUAC
rnacentral:rRNA from 1 species